rnacentral:rRNA from 1 species
GAUGAGUGGCGAACGGGUGAGUAACACGUGAGUAACCUGCCCUCUUCUUUGGGAUAACGCCCGGAAACGGGUGCUAAUACUGGAUAUUUACUGAUCUUCGCAUGGGGGUUGGUGGAAAGGUUUGUUCUGGUGGGGGAUGGGCUCGCGGCCUAUCAGCUUGUUGGUGGGGUGAUGGCCUACCAAGGCUUUGACGGGUAGCCGGCCUGAGAGGGUGACCGGCCACAAGGGGACUGAGACACGGCCCAGACUCC